rnacentral:rRNA from 1 species
GUGGGGAAUAUUGGGCAAUGGGCGAAAGCCUGACCCAGCAACGCCGCGUGAGGGAAGAAGGCCUUCGGGUUGUAAACCUCUGUCCUUGGUGACGAAAAAAAUGACGGUAGCCAAGGAGGAAGCCCCGGCUAACUACGUGCCAGCAGCCGCGGUAAUACGUAGGGGGCGAGCGUUGUCCGGAAUUACUGGGCGUAAAGGGUGCGUAGGUGGCCUUUUAAGUUGGAUGUGAAAUACCCGGGCUUAACUUGGGGGGUGCAUCUAAUACUGGAGGGCUAGAGUGCAGGAGAGGGAAGCGGAAUUCCUAGUGUAGCGGUGAAAUGCGUAGAUAUGGGGAGGAACACCAGUGGCGAAGGCGGCUUUCUGGACGGUGGCUGACACUGAGGCGCGAAAGCUAGGGGAGCGAACGGGAUUAGAAACCCGGGUAGUCC